GGCAAGAUGGCCGAGUGGUUAUGGCGUGUGACUCAAGCGAUCCCAAUCUGCUUGCUCGACCCUUCAGUCGAGUUCUAUUUCUCAUGGGCUCUGCCCGCGGGGGUUCGAAUCCCCCUCUUGUCA